UGGACAUGCUCCUGUACAGACCUCUGAGGAGAACCAAGGUGCAGUCAAAGAGUCCAGUCUGUCCUCACAGAUGUGAACAUGUGGUUUCAUCAGGUCUGCUGUCAGCUAGCAGGCUCACAUCAGAAUCACUGUUCCUGAAAAACACAGUCUGUGUGACAUCAUCAGUCAGCUGAUCGUCCCAGAUCUGAAUGGUUUCUGUCUCUACUGAGGAAGUCAGAGAAUAUCACUGAGGUGUGGAUCAGGUCUGAGUGACCUGUGGAGGGACAGCUUUAAACAGUCCACAGGUCUCACGUCCUGCUCAGUCUGGUAGCAGAUACCUCGUAUUGUUCCAGAUGUGCUGACAUCACCAGCAGCAGCAGCAGCACAGCUGUGUGAUACGAUGAAUCUCAGUUAUUGAUCCAACACACAGUAAAUACAAAGAUCAGGAUUUAUGAGAGUAAUCAUUAUGAGUCUGAACACAUGAUCACUGAAUGUGAGUCUCCACAAUAAUAAGCUAACACAAGCAAACACAGCUUUCAGCUCUUAUUUUGAAACUUAUUUAGAGAGCUGUGAUGUGAGCGUGCCUGGCUCUGAGGCACUUGGGUCAGCCUCUGUUGUUUAGAAGUGUUACAGACUGUGAAUGACACAGACCUGUCAGUUUUCAUGUUUGUCUGUAGCACAGCUCAGGGGCUCCAUGCUGAACGCAUCCAUCCAGUGUUAUUGAUCCAGCACUAAUACCAGCAUUGGAUCAAUACUACAAUACACAAUCACAUGUGUCCACGUGAUGGAUUUGACCAGCUUUAUUCAUUAAUGAUCAAUCAACUUAUUUACUGUAUCUGAGUCCAGCUUCAUUUAAAUGAUCCAACCAUGAAAAUGACAUCAGUCCUACAGAAGCACUUAAUGCUAACAGGAAGUCAUUUAUUAAGGUGGAAUAACACAGAGACACACAACCACUCACAGUUAACCUGACCCCACUAACUGCAUGUGUUUAGACUGUGGGGGGAGUGAUUUUGAAGAUCAUGCAGAAAUGUGCGCGCCCUUAUCUGAGGGGACAUGGAGAGAGUGUCGCAGACUCGAGGUGAGAAGAUAAACCUCGGAGCUGGAUGGCCUGCACGUUACCUAUGUGCAUCUUUUCAAUGACAUCAAGUGAGCCCAUAAUAAGCAUUUCUAUGACAUCAUAUCCAUUUCUAAUGAGAGAUUAUUUUUUAAAUGAGGGAAACCUGGUCUAACAACACGCUAACAACAGAGCUAAAGGUUCAUCACAUGUGAGACGGUGGGACUCUGAUAAGAACUGAAACACUGUGUCUAAACAGCUGAGACAAAACUAUAUAUAAACACUCAUUUAUUCCAGUUUAGUUUACAAUGAUUUUUAAAGUAAUGUGGAAUGAUUCAUGUUCAUGAGCUGUUACAAACACAACUAUUUAUUUGUCUUUCAUAUGGUUGGACUACAAGGCUUGUGUUGAGGGUCUUGGAAUAAUGUGUGAACAACAGCAAGAAAUGAUCGUUUUCCCAUUUUACCAAAGUGGAAUAACAUCACCACAGCAACAAAUAAUGUUAUUGUCUGCAGCUAAAAUAUAUAGUGAACAUGGUUUUAUAAUAAUGUGCAAACACAACCUCACUCUGCUAUAUACGAGGAGCCAACCACAGCUGUCCGGGUCUUCAUCCACGACCUCCGCCAUCAUUUCUUUGCUCACCAUCAUUCACUUAAUUGCUUAGAUUGGUUUAAAUCAAACUCCAUUACAGGUUCAACUCCAUUAUAUAAAUAAAGAAGUGGAAGAGUUAAAGAGCUGCAGCAGAUUAACAGUUUCUGACAGCCAUGUGUUAAGAAAUAGGACGAUUAGAUGAGCUGAGGGAUCCAUCUACUGCUCAAUGAAGCCUCAUCAGAAACAGUCUCAGUGGAAGGAUGGCUCUAUUCUUAAGGAAGGACACAGGCAGAAAGACUGGCGUCUGUCACAUUACACAGGAACUGGACUGAAAAUCAGCUGCAAAUAUUCAUCAGUAUGUGCAAACAUAUUAUAGGUAUGGAAUUCAGGAAAGUACCAUCAGAAGUUGAUCCACUGUGCAAAUGUCUGAUUGGCAGUGGCUUCAUUUUUCACUAUGAACAAACUGCUAAUGCAGUAUGCAGCAUCACAGGACUUCAGGCAUGGAUUGGCCUCCCCAGACCUCAACAUUACUGAAACAUCUUAACAGAGGAUGGAAACAAAGGGAACCAACAUCCAAGAAAAGAGCUGCUCCUGAAUACUUCCUCACAGAAAACACAAAAAAGCUUGACUAAGAGACGUCAGGCUGUGCUGAAUAAUAAAGCUGACAGGUAACCCUAUUGGAGUCGCCAUAGUGACCCGUGGCGUCUCAGCUUCAGUGUGUUGAUGGGCACAGCCAUGGUUACCACAGCUGGAGUUGGUACACGCCGAGCUGUGAGAGGACAGAGAUGGAGAACGGACAUUUAACUAUUUAACAGGAGAUACGUUACGACUAACAGACGACUGCUGUUUAAAUGAUGUCUUUGCAGCCUUCAUGCUACAUGUUACACAACUUUUCUUCAUGCCAACAAGACUGAGGUGCCACAUAGUUGACACAUACAACUGAUUAUGAUGCAUAUUUUACUAUUGCUAUGUUCACAUCAUCUCCUUGGCUUUAUUAUUGAAAGCCUUGAGAUACUCUGACUUGUGCAUGGCUGAUGUGAAGUAUGAUUAGUACUACAUGACUUACACCAUCAACAACAGAGGCAAUGAAAGCUUUGUUUUUAACAGGUUGUAGGUAAAGUCAAAUUUCUAACUCUACACUUGUGUUGGGUAAAGUUCUUCUCACUGCAGCAGAUUUAUAUCUGUGGUUUCACAGGGCGUGAUGUGGACCUCAGCGCUGAGGUGCAGUUCUCCUUGGAGACGGCAUCCUGGCUGAAAUAUUAUCAUGCUUCCAAAACACUUUCAGCUUUUAUUUUGAAAGAAACAAAACUUGAAAACUAAUCCCCUUCUUCCUCUUUUUAUUUGUUCUUCAGAGGAGUGUCACCUGGACAAACUCAGGGCUAUUCUAGGGCCUUUGCUAUUAUUUGACUCCAUAUAAAUAAAACUGAUUUGAAUCAAACCAUUUGCUGGCAAACAAAAACUCCCAAACAGCUAAAAUACUUCGCUUUAUUCUCUUUUUUAACAAAUACGUUGAAGUACAUCCAUAACAACACAGCUGAGAUCUCCUUUUUAAUCAAGUGUUUACAUCCUUUGUACAGAUCUGUAUACAAAACAAUCAUUUACGUCCCAUAGAAGUCUAGUUACACGUAACUAUACAAGAACUCGUAAAUGAAAUAAACAUAAAACACAUAAUCACAGGUGAUAACAAAAAAAGAGAAAGAAUUCACGUGUUAGGGAUGUUUUUGCAGCGCUAAUGGCUCAUGUUGGAGAAAAAAACUGAGGCUGGAGUAUCUCAGUGACUUGGUUGAGGUGAAGUAUGACGAGUAUCCCUGAUUCAUUCCAUCGAGACAAAGGGGAAAGAAAGCUGUUGUUAACAAACUCUAUGGUGUGGACCUCAGCGCUGAGGUGCAGGAGAGUUUCAGUCAGUUCUCCCUGCAAACCAGCAUCCAGCCUGAAAAUACUGUCAUCUUUCCCAGAAAUGGUCGUCUUAUCUCAGAGAAGAAGUUUGAUGUAAAAUAACUGCAAUCAACAGUGAUAUUAUGCACAGAUCACUUUUCCAUUUUGCUCUCUAGAUGAGUCCCAGCUGCCUGACCUUGUGUCCAGGUGAUCGUCUCACUGAGGAGCUGUUGUUCUGAAAAUCUCACGUCCAUGACCUGUUUCCUUUUUACUAUCUCUGCUCUGUCUUUAUUAACAAUGCUCAUAAUAUCACAAAAUUAUAUUCAUCACUUGCCUGCUUUUAUCCACCUGCUGUUAGAACCAAACAAAUAAAAAGGAGGAAAUGCCUAAAAUCCUUUGAUUUAUUACAUUUUGAAACAAAUAUGAGUACAUCCCUAACAGCACAGCUGAGACCUUUGUUUUAAUCAAGCCUUUGUAUCUACACACUUUGUAAAGAUUCAAAUACAAAACAUAAUAGAAUUAAAUAAAUAUAAAAUACACAUAAUCACAGAAGAUGACCAAAACAAUGCACCCAUGUUGUGAAUUUGCAUCUAAAACAUGCAUGUUUCCCUUUGUACAGGCAGAUUUACAGCAGACAAACAACACGGUGACAGACUUUGACCGCUGCAAAAACAAAGUACCCACCAAGUCUGAAGCAGAUCAGAGGAACUGUUGAGCAGACAGACUGACAGACAAACAUACAGAUGCUUGAUUCAUCAGUGCGAUAAAGUGUUCUUCUUUAACAGCAUCACUUCAUGUGUUUGUUUUCCAGGAAUAAAGGUCUAUUUAAACUGGACAUCUCCUCAGCAUCACCAGUGGUGUCAUGGUUUCAAAGCUGUGCAGUAGAGCAAAGAAUCUGAGGGAUGAUACAGAGAUGACCAAAGUUACAGACAAAUCCAGCUGUGCUGGAAAUGUUUGCAGAGCUCCAAACUCUUUGGCUUUCUGUAGAGCAAGUAUGGAAGAAGCACCUGAGCUAACUUACAUUUAGAUGAUAUGAGGAAAAAUGCCGCUUCCCAAAGUUUCCUACAAGUAUCCAGUUUAUAUUUAGAGAAGCAAAGGCUCUUUAUCCUGACAACUACUCCCUGGUGGAUCCCUGUCCUGUGACAGUAGCAAAGAAUGUGUAUCAGUAUUAUCAAAGCCACUUCAAUAACCAGUUUUUAAAGCUAUCUAGCAGAUGGACUUAAGUGCCAGUAGCCUCUGUCUGCUGUGUACAGAAGGUUCUAUGAUGAAGCACAGAUGCUGCACUACAACAGUAGCAGCAGGUCAGCUUCAGUUUGGUUCAACGCCCCUUUUUGACCUAUGAAACAGCAGAAAAUGAAACAUUUCAAC
ensembl:lncRNA